rnacentral:lncRNA from 1 species
UUUGACAUAACAAGCUGAAAUAUGUCUAUAAUUAAGUUUUUCUUUCUUCUUUUUAUGAAAGAAGUUAUUUUGCUCCCUGUCAAAGGACCUUAGUUUAAAUAUCUUCAUUCUUGUUGAUUACCUUCUAAUAAAUUAAAUUAUUGUUUUUACUUUUUUCUCUUUAUUUUUUUGAUCUUCUCUGAUUGAUAGAUGUAAAAUCUUGUAAUUGAACAAGUUUGAUUGUUUUAUUAUAAUGGAUUUAUUUAGUUGGAUUAUUUGGCUAUUAUCUGUUGAUUUAAAUUUCUAAAGUUAUUGAAAAUUUCUCUUUAUUUGUGAUAAAGACACGAAUAUAUCAUACUCCGAACCCAUCGCCUAAGUUGACCAUAUGGCAUGGCCACAUGAAUCCUAGAAUGGUGCUCUAGAGAUCAUGCAAGGCCUAAGAUGAACAUGCUUGAUAUUUUAGAUAUUUUAACUCUGGUACCAGUCGAAGAUAAUCUUCAACUGCACAUCACAUGUGGCACGGGCACAGUUCCAAUACAUAGGGUGACACCCGCGCGUGCCUAUCAAAGCACUCAUUAUAUGAGCCCCCGGGUGGAGAGCCACGCUUCGUCACACGAUCACGCGUGAGAGUUUCCGGGAAUCGGAUAGUCUCCACUAAUCCUUUGCUUUGAUACCAAUUAUC